rnacentral:sRNA from 1 species
GAGGAGACACUGCCGCAGUUGCCGCUACAUCGGGGGUUUCUGGCUCUUUCCUCUUCGCCUUAAAUUCGGGUGUCUUUUAUGAAUAAUCAAAAGCAGCAAAAGCCAACGCUAUCAGGCCAGCGUUUUAAAACUAGAAAAAGAGGUAAAUAUUUAUGUUUUAAUGUCUGUCUUCAAACCUCCAGAAUAUCUUGUGUAUCUUGCCUUCUCUGACAGGCACUUGCAUAGUACUAAAGCCUCAAGAGAAGAUACCAGAAAGAAACUUGAA